UACAGAGGUGGCAAGCGUUGUUCGGAAUUACUGGGCGUAAAGGGCGCGUAGGCGGUCUUGUAAGUCUUGUGUGAAAUCCCUCGGCUCAACUGAGGAACUGCACGGGAUACUGCGAGACUUGAGUUCGGGAGAGGGAAGCGGAAUUCCGGGUGUAGCGGUGGAAUGCGCAGAUAUCAGGAGGAACACCAAUAGCGAAGGCAGCUCGCUGGGACGUUACUGACACUGAGGCGCGAAAGCGUGGGGAGCGAACAGG
rnacentral:rRNA from 1 species